AUGUUUUUGUUAUUGCUGAGCAGGGCUUACACAGAGCCAAGGCCUUUCCUGCUUUUCACACCAGCCAUACUGGUGAAGGAAAUUGGGGGUGCCUGGAAGCAUAGGAGGGGACACUGCCAGGACAGGUGCACACAACUGACCAGAGGGAUAUAUAUUCCAGACCAUGUGACAGCAUGCUCAGUAUGGAAAGAAGUGGGAAGGCAGAAGAAGGGGACGUUUGGAGUUUUGGCAUGGCAUUAGGCAUGGUGGAACCUCACUCUCCUGGAGACAGCUGAACACCUGCCUGCCCAGGAGAAGCAGGCAAUUCCUUGUUUUGCUUUUCUUGUGUGCAUUGCUUUCCCUAUCAAACUGUUUUUAUCUGAACCCAUUCGUUUUCUUACUUGUAGCCUUCUGAUUUUCUCCCUGAUCCAUCUUGUAGGGGAGUGCAUUAGUGGCUGCCUGGGUUGAAACCACAACAAACACUUGCCUUUAAAAUAUGCGUACCUUCAAUUUCACUGAAUGCACUCCUAAUUUCAGUCUAAUUACUUCUUCCUCCAUCAUAUAAUCAAGCUAAUUUUGUGUUCUGAUUACAUCAAGUUACCAGAAAGGUUGUCAUCCCAAACAAAAAUAGCAAAAGUUUUCUCAGCACCCAGGCUACUAAAAAAAAAAAAACAACAACAAAACCUCAGUUUUUCAUGGUAAAAAGGCGUUAAAGCCCACUUUACACAAGGCUAACUUGUGUUCUCUAUCCUUGCUUUCCAGCAAUCCCUGUGGCAGGCAGUGAGGUGCCGUUCGGCUGUGCACCAGCAGGUGUCUCCCCGACACAGGCACUGCGAUUCCAAGGUCCAGGAUGCGCAGGGCAGAAGUGGCACAGACACCGUGCGCUGCAUUUCUGUAAGAGAUAGUAAGUUACCUCUAACAAACCAUCUGCGAGGACACAGAAGGAACCGGACAGCAGGGAAUGGAGCAAGGCCCUUCACAGCAUCCAGGAAGGGAAGGAGAUGGAGCCGGAGACUCACACAGGAGAAAAGCUAAAUGCAGAACAGAGACCCUCUCAGAGGCAGGGUUAGAUAUCAUAGGCUGAACGUAAAUGGCACUCCUGGGCUUGUGAGCAGAGCAUCCCAUGUGAGGCCAGUCAGGGAUGGUAAAUCCCAUUAGCACCUUCAGGGUUCUGACAUUAUUCUGUUACAGAUGAAUUGUGAUUUAUCAUAUGCUUUUUUGAGAAGCUCAGAGCACAUGACUAUUAUGUGUGUUAGCUUCAAUAAGAAUGAAAGAGGUGAAACUUUAGUACUUAAAAUUUGCGACAUGCUAAAGGUAUGCUUAGAUCAUGUCUAAAGUUAAAUCUAGUGAUUUUUUUAUUUAAUUGGACUUGGGACUGAACCCUCAGCUAGGCUGCAAGUGCUAGAUAUUAAAAGACACUGGAGCUUUUUGGAAUAAACAGAUUAUUUGAAAAUUCCAUAGGGGUGUAUUAAAAGAGUGCAAUGUUUAGCCAUUUUAAAAGUUAGUCUGGCCACUCUAUGCAUGCAUUGGACUGGUUCAGUAAAGCUUUAAGUUUAUGCAAACAAAGAGAUAGCACAAAGCAAAUAUAAAAUGCCUAAGCACCCAAUAUCCUUUAGAAGUUAGCUUGAUAGACGGUUUUGAAAUACUUAACCAGCAACCUCUCUGAAUCUCUCAAGAUCUAAAUAUCACUAAGAUAGACCAGAAGUGCAGAGGUUACUUUGGAAUAUAGACUUCUUUUCUUCAGAUAUUUCUAUCCCUUUCUAUCUUUAAAUGCCAGAUGAUUUUCAAUAAGUGUUGGCAGAAAGGAAAUAUUUCACUGUUCUAAACAUUAAGAAGCUUCCUGGAAACUUGUCAAAGAACCCUCACAAGUGUUGGUUUUUUUGGUUCGUUUUUUUUUUUUUUACCUCACACUAGUGCAGUUGCAAGCCUCAGAUUAAGCUUAUAAACUAUAAUUGUAUAUUACUUCUCUAUAGUUGCCAACGUUCAAGGCCAAAAGAAGCAGAGAAGAUACUUCUUUUUGUGUUUUAUUUAUGGGAGGUUUUUUUGAUCCCAUCUUUUCUGUUUGCUUUUUUUCCAGUCCAAAUCUCUUGACUGGGUUGAAUACAUGAUCCAAAUAACAGCUUAUUUAUCAUGCUGUUUGGUGAUGGAUGCAUGGUGAUUGCCUGCCAUUCUUUUCUGACUGUAAAACUGAAUUAGAUUCUACACCGUGCAAAUGUACACAAUGCACAUUGUAAUGACAGCUGGUGGAGAGCUGCUGUACUCAAUUCUGGGUCUUUUUCCAGUCACAACUUCUGUUUCUUGUUUUCCAUGUGCAGUUCUCUUCUACCCCUCCUCCCAACCAGCAUCUUAAAGAAAAUGUAAAAUGUACCAGGCAAGGGCACCAGCUGGUCCUAUUUUCUGUCCACAGAUAUUCAUAGUCUCUGAUUGGAGUCAUGGUUUCCUAAAAGCCACACUUACACAGGAGAAGGAAAUAAACUCACUGUACUUUUUUCACCACAAAAUGUUAACCAGAUUAGAAAAUAGGCUCAUGUAGUUCCUGUGCCAAAGGUGGUCCUUCUUAAAAUAAUAAAAUGUCAGAUUCUUCAAAAUAUUAGUGUAUACAUGUGCAAAUACAGUAUAAGCAUGUAGCAGCAUGACUUUGGUAGCUUUUCCACAUAACUGUAUUUUCUUGGAAGGAAUGGCUUGCUGCUAUUUGUAACUAAACAGGUUUAAACUUAGAAGCACUGUCAUUAUUGGUUUUAAACACCAAAGGUAUUCGUAAUCAUUAUGGAUGUUUGUUGUACAGUAAGGAACUACAAGACUUACAGUCCCGUGAAAUUUGUGCAUAGAACAUAAAGGAAUACAAAAACAUAACUUCAUUCUCUUUCUGUUUGUUUUUUUUUUUUAGAUUUGUCCGUGCUUUCUUGGUGGAUUGCCAUUUGAUGUGGUUUUUAAGGUUCAAGGUUCCUUUUAAGGUUCUUUGUCUCUAAGCAAAGGGACACAGGGUUUUAGUUUUAGACCUUGGAUUUUUUUUCUCAUUUCUAUUAAGAGAUAGUGAUCUGGGUCUCUCCAUGCAGGUCCAUUUUUGGAUUUCCCAGUGUAAUACCACCCUAUGUAAGCCUACUCUUGGUCAGUGUAUGACAGUACAUACUUUGAGGUGACUACAUAAGUCAUGGGCCAAAGGCAUUUUGAAAACUGCUGCAAGGUGACUGACAGUGAUUGAUUUACUGUUCAAUGGUGUUAAAUAGAUUCUCUCUUUUUAGCUGACAGUUUCUUACAGUUAUUGAGAAAGCAGCUGAACUGCUUUUCCUCAUUCUUCUUGAUAUCACUUUAUUUAAACUGCAUAAAUGGUUUGUGUUUCUGAAAUUCUGUGAUGUCUUGUGUCCACUGCAGGUCUAAAGAUAGGUCUUACUUUCUGCCCACAUUCAUCAUUAUGCUGAAGGUUUAUAAACCUAAUUUCAUUUGUGUUUUGCACUAUAGCAGCCUAUUUUCUGCCUAGGCAUUUCCUCAUAUACUAUAGCAUAUAGAAAUUUUAUCUGCAUCCCCAUUCUGACUAAGCUGUCUUGGUGGCCUGUUUAAUUUUCAGAGAUGUAUGUCCCAGUGUAAAUCCCAAUUUGCAGUUGGAAUUAAUUGUAUUUUAAAUUUUCAUCUUAAAAGAAAUCUUAAAAAAUAGGUAAUAAAAUUCUUUUUGUAGAGAUCACUUUGCCUUCCUUAAUAUAAUAACAGGGAAAAGAAAGGAAGUAUGAAUUUGAACCUGUAACUCUUACACUUUUGGUUUACAUCUCUUGCUGUACAGCCCUGAUUCUUCCAUGGAGUACCAUGCUUCUCAGCAUUUUUGUUUUCCUUUUGUGAUCUCUUUUCAUCCCUGAGAUACAAGAGCUUCUGACACAAUCACCUUUAUCAGUUCUGUGAUCAUUCCCUGGCCCACUGGGCAUUUUGCAGUGCUGCACUCUGACCGCUUUGGUUCUAUGUUAUAGAAAAUCACGUGUGAAAUGAAUUUGUUAAAUUUGAGAAUCCAGCUUACAUGUCCUAUUUUCUGCAGUUCCCAGUACCUCCAUUUUCUGAUAAAAUAACCUUUCAUUUCAUUAUCUCUGUGCUUGUAACUUUUGUAAGGAAAAUAGACAUGUAGACUAUUGGAUUAACCAUCAUAUGUCAUUAAAACAUUUCAGGAAAGAAAACAUUUAGUAAAAACUGGUCCAAGAUGCAGAGGUAGGUUUAGAUUCAAAUGUAAUAAUCACACUGAUUUUCUCUUGUUUCCACAUCAUUCCUCUUUUACAGUGUCAUGCUGAACAUGGUACCAACUGGGGUAUCAAUGGUAUUAAUUUCUUGCCCUCUAUUACCCACUGUUUCCCUGUGGUCGCUUUUCAUCACCUUCAUUGUUUGGUAACUUCACCCAGUACCAAGUUUCCUAAUAUUACAUAUCUUGGUUUCUGUGUAAGCUUCAUAAUGCUCAGACUUUCCUUAUUUUUCGUGAAAUAGUUGGAGACUACACCAAGAACAUCACACACUGAAAAAUUUACUGGUUUCAUUUGUCUGGAACAUUUUUCUCCCUGAUCUCUUUAUGAUCUUCACAAAUAUUUGCAAAGGUAAAGCAUGAAAUCCAAUGAAAGGGUUGGAGAGGAUAUGAAAAGAGAAAAUUUGUCAGUUUAAAGCCUCACAUUCAACAAUAUGCUGUAAACCGUCUGCACCAUGUUUAAAUUGAAAGCUAAGGAGCAAACAUUCAGAACAUACAGAUGAUAAAAAACAAAACAGACUAUAAACAGGAGACAGCUGGAGACAGCAAUUCUGAAGGUAUAAUCUUCCUUUAGUAUAUCUAAAACAGAGCAAUCAUUUCACUUUCUUGACAUUAGCAAAGCGUAACUCUGAUUCACUGAAAACUCAGACUUUGUUCUGAUUCUCUGUAUGUAGGUUUAAGUCCUUAGUGACACUGUUAACUAUUGAGUGCAUUAAAAAUCAAAUAGUUAUUCUGCAUGUGUUGUCACAGGGUACUGAAGAUAAACAUCUCUGACCUAUAAAAACGGAAAAGAACAAGGAAUGUUAUAUGCAUAACAGCAGGAAUAAUUAGUUAGAAAUGUCAUAAAACUAGAGCAUCCUUGUCAAACAUAGGGGAAAAAAUCCUCCCAACUUGGCAUUAUCUCAUGUAUUCCUGCUAUUCUGAACAUAUUUGUAUGCAUCUAAACUUCUCUGAGUUGCACAGCUAUCCUGAUGUAUUGGAUCAUAUGUAUGUUUAAAUGGGUCUAUGUGAACCCAAAAAUCCAGUUAGAAAAGAGUUGGAAAAAAGACAAUGAGAUGACCCAUUUUAGGGAGAAUUGUGCCAGAAUCUCCACACUGCAAAAAACACCCAUGAUGGUUCAGCAACAUUGCAAAAGGCAUGGUAACUCAGGCCUAAAUCUAAGGCAGCAGAGGCAGCAGCAGGAGGCAUACUUGCUGAAUAUGAAGAGUGGAUUCUAUUUCCAUGAAUAUGAAAAUAGAGAGGAAACAUGAAAGAAAAAGCUGUGGGGUAUGCAAGUGGUAUAAGGCAAUUUACUUAUUAAAAUGAGAGACUGAUCUUUCAGUAUGUGUGAGAAAUAAUCUUAUCAGGAUAUAAUUUUACUAAAGUGUAAAGCAUUAAGCUUUUAAUCAUCACUGCAAUUUAAAUCUACCAGAAAAUCUUAUUUUAAAGAAUCCCAAAUGAGUGCACUUUUCUUACUGUAUGUAUACUAAAGAAUGGACAUUUAUGCUUCUGUCCUGCCUUGCUAUAAUUCUUCCAUAACCUGAAAAACAAAAAACACUUAAACCCAACAGUUCAGUGGUCAAUUGCUAAAAAAUAAAUAGAUACUCUUGCGAUAAUUUUACAGCUACAAAAAAUGACAGGAUACCACCCAGUGCUUACAGGAACCUGGGGCAAUCUGUAAACUUGUAGCUAUAUACAGAAUUUCUCCAGCUCCAUCUCUCACUGAAGAACAACCCAUAAUUCCAAUUACAAGGCCACUUGAGGAUUCUUCAAGUGCGAUUGUUUUGAAAACUAUACUUCACAGCCCUUGAUUGCUAAGGAGUGAAGUUACAUAUGCAAAAAAAGCUUACUGAUUUCUGAUUUACUUUGAAAAGUCACCUUUUUUGCCUAAACAUUAGAGCCAAGAACCACCCAAGACUUCUGCAGGAAACUGACAGAAGGAAUACAGGGAAUAGUUGUGGCCAGGAGGGGGUCAGUCCCUUCUCCCACGUAACCAGUGAUAAGACAAAAGACUAGAGCUUUAAGCUGCACCAGAAAAGGUUCAGGCUCGAUAGCAUGAUGAGUUACUUCAUGGAAAGAAUUGCUAAGCAUCAGAAUAGACUGCACAGGGAGAUGGUGGAGUAUCAUCCCUGAAUAUGUUCAAGAAAUGACUGGGUAUGGCACUCAGGACCGUGGUCUAGUUGACACAGUGCUAAUCAGUCAAAGGUGAACUCAAUGAUGUCAGGGCUUUUUUCCAACUUAAAUGAUUCUGUAAUUUAAAUAUAUUUGAAACCUUUCUCCAUUGGGUUUUACCAAUGGAGCAAGUAUAACGUACUUAGAGGUCUGUGAUGUCUUCGAUUUUACUUACAAUACAUUCAUUUUUUCCAAAAUAUUUCAAAUAUUAAGUAUCAGUUGUAAUAUAGCCUCCAGGUCAUAAUAUCCUUAAUUACCUUCAAUAUUUGAAGAAAUUCCAUUCAUUUAGGGUGUAUGUAUGUGAUAUAUAUACAUAUAUAUAUAUAUAUUUAAUCAAAAUAUUAAUAAUUAUGUAAAUUAAAAAUAAAAGAAAGCCUCCUUGUUUUAGGAUUAGAUUUAUUUUAAAUGUUUGAAAAACAAUAAAAGAUAAAGCCUGUUUUCAGACCAACAGAAAUAUUAAAAAUUGGGCAAUAUCCCAGAUAAUGUAGCGUUUUUUCUGUGACGUAUUAAAAUAUCAUUGAUGAAGCUGUUUAGAAUUUGGCCUAAAGUCCAAUAAGCAUAAGCAAAUCAUAAAUAUAGUAAAUUUUAUUUAAAAUAUUGAUACUGAUGCAGUUACAGUCUGUGUCUUGAACUAAUAGUUCUUUAGUUUUGGAUGUUUUGUCUUCUGGGGCAUUUUGGGUGCUUGAAGUUAUGUCUGAGGCAAGAUUUUAGAACUCUCAUAUUGUAACCUGAGCUCUUUCACAUCUCUGUGAUGCAAUCAGGGUUAUCAAGAAAUUUAAUUUUCCUCUCCUUUGUUGCAGAUGAGCAGGUAAAAUUGAUUAAUACUAUUAUGUUAGGUACUUUUAUUUAAUUACUAUGUGACAUAGCUAUUGUGUUUUGAAGAGAUUUUGGAAUUAAGAAUUUGGAAUUAAGUGAUGAGGGAAUAAAAUCAAUUAAGACUAAGGCAACAAAAAAACCCCCAAAAAUUAAAAAAAACCCUAACACACAAACAUUUUCUUAGCUCUUUAAAAGCAGAAACAAUAUAAGUUGUCUCUAAAUAAUUCACAUUAUGGUGCCAGGCCAGCUUCUCAGAAAGCAACAUUUCCAUUUCCAGGUUUCCCCAAAUGUUUCAUUAAAAUUCAAAGGCUGUGCUAGAAGAUAAACUACUUUCAGGUACAGAGGUUUGGUGGCUGGGUUUGUUUUUUUUUUUAGUUUUAAACAGGUUACCUUCUUCCUUUAUCUUUUUCAGCAGUUGGCGCUGAUAAAUGACACAAUUUUUUAAAACUGCUGAAUUUCAAAAUUCAGAUCACUAAAUAAAAGCUGGUGAGAUGUGACAGUGGCACAUUCUGUUCUCCCAUGGCCUUUCCUCUACUGUUUUGCCCCCUCUCCUGCUCAGUCUGUGGCCCUUCAUUGCAGAGUCUAAUUUUCCUGGAGAUGAAGAGAUAAUAGACGGUCUGAAAAAUAAGACAUCAUGUAAUAAUGGCCUGCUCUACAGAAGUAGUCCAUUCUAAUUUCAUGGUUGUUGCAUUAUCCCAAAUGUUUUCUCACAAGACAUUACAGCAGAAUCACAAUAAUUCCACCACUGGUAUGUCCAUGAAGCAAAAUUAGCUUUAAAAGUGUUGUUCUUUGAAGCACUUUCUUUCCCUAGGUUGUAUAAAGCAUAAAUUUAUAAUGAUUGACUCUCCCAUUUUGCUCCCUUUUUCAGAUAGAAAUGCAUUUUUAUUCUACGGAUGUAUGUAUGCUCAAAGCUAAAUCUAAAGGCUUUUGUUUCAGCAUAUGGAAAGGACCUGAGACCAAAUGCACAGUAUAUUCAAUGGCAAAUCAUUUUGAACCAGUAACAUUGAAAAGAGAGGGAUAUUCAUAAAAGAAAGCAAAAAAUAAUGAUAGUUUUUAGUAAAUUAUUCUCAUAAGAUCUAUUAAAUGUGUUUUAUUUCUUUGUUUUUUUCAAGAAUCCUGUCACAAAUGGUUUAUAAAGCCUUUUGUUUAAGUAAUGUAGCUAAAAUUUUGAUUAUCCUUAAUAAAAAAAAAUCUGAAACUUAUAAAAUCAUCCUUGCAUAUUUUAAUUAUGUGCAAAACUUUGUAUCCGUCCUUAAAAACACAUGUAUUCCUACUACUGAUACAGGCCUAGGAAACUUUGUCGUAAAAUUUUUUUAAGAUAAUUUUUGACAUUUGCAGUAUCAUGGUGGAUGUUUUGUAUUUUAACAGAGCUCUCAAAUGAAAAGCUCUUUUGAUAGUGAAU